rnacentral:rRNA from 1 species
GAUGAACGCUGGCGGCGUGCCUAAUACAUGCAAGUCGAGCGAACAGAUGAGGAGCUUGCUCCUCUGACGUUAGCGGCGGACGGGUGAGUAACACGUGGAUAACCUACCUAUAAGACUGGGAUAACUUCGGGAAACCGGAGCUAAUACCGGAUAAUAUAUUGAACCGCAUGGUUCAAUAGUGAAAGACGGUUUUGCUGUCACUUAUAGAUGGAUCCGCGCCGCAUUAGCUAGUUGGUAAGGUAACGGCUUACCAAGGCAACGAUGCGUAGCCGACCUGAGAGGGGGAUCGGCCACACUGGAACUGAGACACGGUCCAGACUCCUACGGCAGGCAGCAGUAGGGAAUCUUCCGCAAUGGGCGAAAGCCUAACGGAGCAACGCCGCGUGAGGGAUGAAGGUCUUCGGAUCGUAAAACUCUGUUAUUAGGGAAGAACAAAUGUGUAAGUAACUAUGCACGUCUUGACGGUACCUAAUCAGAAAGCCACGGCUAACUACGUG